CCUGGAGCAAGAACUCAGUUUCUCUUCCUGUGAGAGGAUGGCCACCUCAAGGGGUCUGCUGGGAGCAUUGACAGAGACCACACAUGCAGAUAUUGUUCGUAAACACUGAUCCCAACUGCCACCCAGCUUCUCCCUCCUCCCCUUGUGGUAAGCACUGUGCUUGGGGAAGGCCCAGGAAAGGAGUUUGUGCCCAGGACAGCUGAGAGACUUGAGAGGAUGGUGGAUCUCAGUGAUGGAGGCGGGGGCGUCCUGCUGAAGGAAAACAUGUUUUGCUCCCUCGGCCUUUAACUUCCUUAUGGUGCCACAGCGGAAAUCGAAGCUUCAUGUUGACUUCAUUUUCCUCCUGUGACGGUCUCAGACGGAGGCGAUCUGAGUGUGAGGGUGAAUCUUCACCAUCAACCUGACUGGAUUUAGAAUCACCAUGGAAACACACCUCUGGGUGUGUAUGAGAAUGUUUCUAGAAAGGUUUAAGUAGGAGGGAAGACCCAUCCUUAAUGUGGGGGGUCAGCAUGCUGUGUUCUAGGGGCCUGGAUUGAGUAAGAAGGAAAAUGGGAGUGGGCAUCUCUGUUUCCAGACUAUGGAUGAUACUAUGUUGCCAGUUGCCUCACACUCUUGCAGCCAUGCCUCCCUGCCCUGAUGGACUGUAUCCGCCUUAAACUGAAAGCCAAAAGAAACCCACCCUUUUAACUUUUUUGGGGGGGGGUAUUUUGUUGCAACAAUAAAAAAAGUGACUAACACAUUGGAAUUAACACCAGAAUAAAAGGAUGACCUUCUUUUCA
rnacentral:lncRNA from 1 species